rnacentral:tRNA from 1 species
GCUCCCUUGGCGCAGCGGUAGCGCGCGACAUUGGUAAUGUCGAGGUCCCGAGUUCAAAUCUCGGAGGGGGCU